GCUGAAACACCGGUACUCGUACGAUCAUCGAAGUUAAGCAACGUCGAGCCUGGUCAGUACCUAGAUGGGUGACUGCUUGAGAAUACCAGGUGCUGUAAG